rnacentral:rRNA from 1 species
GUUCGGUUAAGUCCGCUAACGAGCGCAACCCUCGUCGUAUGUUAUAUGUGUCAUACGAGACUGCCGGUAAAAGCCGGAGGAAAGGUGAGGAUGAUGUCAAGGUCAGCAUGACCUUUAUAUCCAGGGCUACACACACGCUACAAUGGUCUGUACAAUGGGUAGCCAAGCCGCGAGGCGGAGCCAAUCCUGAAAGCAGGCCUCAGUUCAGAUUGCAGUCUGCAACUCGACUGCAUGAAGCCGGAGUUGCUAGUAACCGCAGGUCAGCAAUACUGCGGUGAAUACCGGUUCCCGGGUCUU